rnacentral:rRNA from 1 species
UACGAAGGGGGCUAGCGUUGCUCGGAAUCAUUGGGCGUAAAGGGCGUGUAGGCGGCCAGAUAAGUCCGCUGUGAAAUCUCGAGGCUCAACUUCGAGCUGUCGGUGGAAACUGUCUGGCUAGAGUCCGGAAGAGGAGAAUGGAAUUCCUGGUGUAGCGGUGAAAUGCGCAGAUAUCAGGAAGAACACCCGUGGCGAAGGCGAUUCUCUGGGACGGUACUGACGCUGAGACGCGAAAGCGUGGGGAGCGAACAGG